rnacentral:sRNA from 1 species
AGAAGCUUAGGUAGUAAGUUACUAAGCUAAGCAGUUCCUCCAUAAACGUUAUCAUUCGAUUCCGCUUCAAAGACGAACCUUCUAAGUACCUCCCAUAAGUAAUGAUUCUGCAAUGGCCAAAAUUGCCUUAUGGCAGGUUUUGUAAAUAUUUAAAAGGUAAAUGUAAUGUCUAAGAAGACCGGUCAGGUUAAGUGGUUCAAUGAGAGUAAAGGUUUUGGUUUCAUUGAACAGCAAGACGGCGGCAAAGAUGUAUUCGUACACUUCUCCGCAAUCAUGACCGAUGGUUUCAAGACCCUGGCUGAAGGCCAGCGCGUUGAGUAUACCAUUGAAGACAGCCCGCGCGGGCCGGCUGCCGCCAACGUUGUUGCCCUGUAAGUUUUACAGGAAAUAGCGUAUAGAGAUCUUGA